UACGUAGGGGGCAAGCGUUGUCCGGAAUUAUUGGGCGUAAAGAGCGCGUAGGCGGUCCGAUAAGUCGGCUGUGAAAGUCAGGGGCUCAACCCUUGGAAGCCGGCCGAUACUGUCGGACUAGAGUCCGGAAGAGGCGAGUGGAAUUCCCGGUGUAGCGGUGAAAUGCGCAGAUAUCAGGAGGAACACCAAUUGCGAAGGCAGCUCGCUGGGACGUUACUGACGCUGAGACGCGAAAGCGUGGGGAGCAAACAGG
rnacentral:rRNA from 1 species